UACGUAGGGUGCGAGCGUUGUCCGGAAUUAUUGGGCGUAAAGAGCUCGUAGGCGGUUUGUCGCGUCUGCUGUGAAAACUCGGGGCUUAACCCCGGGCCUGCAGUGGGUACGGGCAGACUAGAGUGUGGUAGGGGAGACUGGAAUUCCUGGUGUAGCGGUGAAAUGCGCAGAUAUCAGGAGGAACACCGAUGGCGAAGGCAGGUCUCUGGGCCACUACUGACGCUGAGGAGCGAAAGCUAGGGGAGCAAACGGG
rnacentral:rRNA from 1 species